GUGGGAGGGGAAGAAGACAAGAGCAGGGAGCAAUGCUCUGCACACUUGGAGGAAGUGUGAGCACCACUGCCCACAGAGGGGCAGAUGCGCCUGGCACUGCCAGCAGCUGGGCAAGGCGUGUCUGUGGUGCUGACAUGGGCACUGCUCCGGGACUGCGGUCUGCUGGAAGGACAUGGGCUCUGAGCUCUCAUGGCAUCUGCUACCUGGGCAUCGCUGCCAUUGCAUGGGGCACGAUAACACAACUGGAGGUGAGUGCCUGGACAUACCACUACAGUGACCAAGGGGACUACACAUGGGAGCAGGCCAGGAACUACUGCCAGACCUUCUUCACUGACCUGGUGGCGAUCCAGAACAAGCAGGAGAUUGAGUACCUCAACAAGAGCCUGCCCUUCUAUGGGCGCUACUACUGGAUCGGCAUCCGCAAACUGAGUGGCACCUGGACCUGGGUGGGCACUAAGAAGGCACUGACAAAGGAGGCAGAGAACUGGGCAGCUGGGGAGCCCAACAAUCGCCGCUCCAACCAGGACUGUGUGGAGAUCUACAUCAAGCGGCUGUUUGAGUCUGGCAAGUGGAAUGAUGAGCCCUGCAACCGGAGGAAAAAAGCACUGUGCUACCGGGCCUCCUGCCAGCCCUUCCCAUGCAGCCAGCGCGGCAAGUGUGUGGAGACCAUCGGGAGCUACCGCUGCGAGUGCUACCCUGGCUUCCAUGGUCAUGAGUGUGAGGAUGUUGUGCAGUGCACUGAGCUUGACCCCAAGGGAGUGCAAAUGAACUGCAGCCAUCCCUAUGGACGCUUCAGCUACAACUCCACCUGUGUGUUUGAAUGCCAGGAAGGGUUUGAACAGCAAGGGGCAAGCACCCUGCGGUGCCUGCCUUCCCAGAAGUGGUCAGCAGACACUCCCAUGUGCACAGCCAUCACCUGCCCAGCGCUCAGUGCUCCAGACUGGGGAGAGCUGAACUGCUCCCACCUCCACGGGGACUUCGCCUUUGGCUCCACGUGUGCCUUCUCCUGCCAGACAGGAUUUGCACUGAUGGGGUCGGAAAGCCGCGAGUGUAUAGCCACAGGAACCUGGACUGGGGAUACCCCACACUGUGAAGCUAUCACCUGCCCAGUGCUCAGUGCUCCAGAACGGGGAGAGCUGAACUGCUCCCACCUCCAUGGGGACUUCACCUUCGGCUCCACGUGUGCCUUCUCCUGCCAGACAGGGUUUACACUGAUGGGUUUGAAGAGUCGUGAGUGCAUGUCCACGGGGACCUGGACUGGGGAUGCCCCAAGCUGCGAAGCCAUCAUCUGCCCAGAGCUCCAUGCUCCAGACUGGGGAGAGCUGAACUGCUCCCACUUCCAUGGGGACUUCGCCUUCAGCUCCACGUGUGCCUUCUCCUGCCAGACAGGGUUUGCACUGAUGGGGCCAGAGACCCGGAACUGCACAGCUACAGGGACCUGGACUGGGAAUGCCCCAAGAUGUGCAGUCUCUCAGUCCCCAAGCUCCUGCUUGGAAUGUACCUCUGUCCCUACAGCCAUCACCUGCCCGGUGCUCAGUGCUUCAGACCGGGGAGAGCUGAACUGCUCCCACGUCCAUGGAGACUUCACCUUUGGCUCCACGUGUCUCUUCUCCUGCCAGAUGGGGUUUGCACUGAUGGGGCCAGAGAGCCGUGAGUGCACAGCCAUGGGGACCUGGACUGGGAACACUCCACGGUGCAAAGCCAUCACCUGCCCAGUGCUCAGUGCUCCAGAUCGCGGAGAGCUGAACUGCUCCCACCUCCAUGGGGACUUUGCUUUUGGUUCCACGUGUGUCUUCUCCUGCCAGAUGGGGUUUGCACUGAUGGGGCCAGAGAGCCGUGAGUGCACAGCCACAGGGACCUGGACUGGGGAUGCCCCACAGUGUGAAGCUGUUGCCUGCCCACUGCUCAGUGCUCCAGACCAAGGAAAGCUGAACUGCUCCCACCUCCAUGGGAACUUCACCUUCGGCUCCACAUGUGCCUUCUCCUGCCAGACAGGGUUUACACUGAUGGGGCCAGAAAGCCUUGAGUGCACAGCCAUGGGGACCUGGACUGGGGACUCCCCACACUGUGAAGCCAUCACCUGCCCAGUGCUCAGUGCUCCAGCCUGGGGAGAGCUGAACUGCUCCCACCUCCAUGGGGACUUUGCUUUUGGCUCCACUUGUGUCUUCUCCUGCCAGAUGGGGUUUGCACUGAUGGGGCCAGAGAGCCGUGAGUGCACGGCCACAGGGACCUGGACUGGGGAUGCCCCACAGUGUGAAGCUGUUGCCUGCCCACUGCUCAGUGCUCCAGACCAAGGAAAGCUGAACUGCUCCCACCUCCAUGGGAACUUCACCUUCGGCUCCACAUGUGCCUUCUCCUGCCAGACAGGGUUUAUACUGAUGGGGCCAGAAAGCCUUGAGUGCACAGCCAUGGGGACCUGGACUGGGGACUCCCCACACUGUGAAGCCAUCACCUGCCCAGUGCUCAGUGCUCCAGCCUGGGGAGAGCUGAACUGCUCCCACCUCCAUGGGGAUUUUGCUUUUGGCUCCACGUGUGUCUUCUCCUGCCAGAUGGGGUUUGCACUGAUGGGGCUGGAGAGCCACAAGUGCACGGCCAUGGGGACCUGGACUGGCGAAACUCCACAAUGCAAAGCCAUCAGCUGCCCGGAGCUGGACCCCCCCAGCAGAAGUCACCUGAGCUGCUCUCACAUGUAUGGGAAUUUCACAUACAACUCCACGUGCACCUUUUCCUGUGAGGAGGGGUUUGUUCGGAUGGGAGCAGAGGUGCUCUGGUGUGCAGUCACAGGGAACUGGACUAGGCAACCCCCUGUCUGUGCAGAGGAUGGUGCCCUCUUCUUAAAGCAAGUCCUGGCCUACAGCAGUGGCACAGCUCUGGCGGUAGCUGGUGUCAUGCUCUCUGGGAUGCUCAUUGCCCUCAUAGCCAAGCGGCUCAGUGACAGAGAUCUGGUUAUUUUUUUUCCAUCUGCUCUAUCCCUGUGGACAUUUCAACACCAUUAUCAGAGGAGAAGAAGAAGCUCUUGAACCCUACCAGUGACCUAGGCUCGCCUGGCAUCUUCACCAAUGCAGCCUAUGAUGCCAACCUGUAAGCCUGGCCCGGACCAAACCCCACCGUGUUCCCCAGCGCCGCAGACCCAGCAGGAGCUGCUGCCAGGGCCUAGAAGGGCUUCGUGUCUUUGCCUGCAGUCCCGACCUGCGCUGCCCGUGGAGGCGGCACCCCCGUUGCGUGCGCGCACACACACACACACACAGAGGCGCUGCCUCCCCGCAAAGCCGUGCACCAGCACCCGGGCCGCUGGCCGCCCUCUGGGGCCAGGCCUGGGCCGGGUCCGUCCCCUGACGGAGCUGCCUCCCUGCUCCCGCCGUUCAUGGUUCUGGCGACGGGCUUGUGCCAGCGGGGCCUCAAUAAACUGCUGUGUCUAAGAAA